CUUAGAUCUGAAAUUAUGUCACAGAAAAAUAUCAACCGUAUCAAAUGUUGGGGACUUUAACACAUCUGAAGAAUCGAACAAAGUUAAAUCAGACAUGUAAUCUAAGUUCAGAUGUAAUGGUGGUGCUGCUCCGUGGUGAUACAAAUAGCUGAAGAAAUAAGUUUAUAAAAAGUGUAGCAUUACACUUGCGUCUUACAAAGAAAGUUGCAGUUUCUAGGUGGUUGAAUGAGUAAGGAAUUUUGAUAGUGUGAUUCGGCUUGCAGAUAGGAAGGGAUUGAACAUGAACUAAUACUACCACCCAAAAAGAUAAGUAUCUUUUUAUACUAUACCAGAAUUUAAAUAUAUAGUAACUUACUGUUAUACUGUGUUCUUUUGGCAGGACAAUAUGCGUAGUACAUGGUACAUCCAAAUGGAAAUUAAGAAGCAAAUUGAUGACAGCGACUAUUAACACAACUUUCUUCAGUGCAUUUAAUCAGGCAUAGGGUUUGCCAGUAAAAAGAAGAUGAUGUCGGUGGGGUUUCAAUGGUAUAGGGUGUUUCAUCAUGAAGAUAGUUUUGAUGGACUGAACAUUCAUUCAUGUUUGGAUUUUCUUUAAAAAAGCCUAGAUUUAAUC